rnacentral:rRNA from 1 species
UGUAAGCGUAUACCAAAGUUGUUGCAGUUAAAACGCUCGUAGUCGGAAUUUGGCAGUUCCGGAUGUGUGCACGUCGUGUGCGCACUUCGCGGGGAUUGCUUUUGUGGUCUUGCGUAGGAUGAGGCACUUUUAUUAGUGAACGUCCUCACGCAACCACUUUUUACUGUGAGAAAAUCAGAGUGCUCAAAGCAGGCAUUUGCCGUGAAUGUAUUAGCAUGGAAUAAUAGAAUAGGACUUGGUUCUAUUUUGUUGGUUUGUUGGGACUGAGUAAUGAUCAAGAGGGACAGUUGGGGGCAUUUGUAUUUCGGUGCUAGAGGUGAAAUUCUUAGAUUACCGAAAGACAAACUGCUGCGAAAGCGUCUGCCAAGGAUGUUUUCAUUGA